UGUUCAUAGAUUCUAUGUGUCUUUUCAUCCU
rnacentral:piRNA from 1 species